AAACUAACAAGGAUUCCCCUAGUAGCGGCGAGCGAAGCGGGAAGAGCUCAAAUUUAUAAUCUGGCACCUUCGGUGUCCGAGUUGUAAUCUCUAGAAGUGUUUUCCGCGUUGGACCGCACACAAGUCUGUUGGAAUACAGCGGCAUAGUGGUGAAACCCCCGUAUAUGGUGCGGACGCCCAGCGCUUUGUGAUACACUUUCAAUGAGUCGAGUUGUUUGGGAAUGCAGCUCAAAUUGGGUGGUAAAUUCCAUCUAAAGCUAAAUAUUGGCGAGAGACCGAUAGCGAACAAGUACCGUGAGGGAAAGAUGAAAAGCACUUUGGAAAGAGAGUUAACAGUACGUGAAAUUGUUGGAAGGGAAACGCUUGAAGUCAGACUUGCUUGCCGGAGCUUGCUUCGGUUUGCAGGCCAGCAUCAGUUUUCCGGGGUGGAUAAUGACGGUUUGAAGGUAGCAGUCUCGGCUGUGUUAUAGCUUUCCGUUGGAUACAUCCUGGGGGACUGAGGAACGCAGCGUGCUUUUUGCGAAAGACUCGUCUUUUUCACGCUUAGGAUGCUGGUGGAAUGGCUUUAAACGACCCGUCUUGACCC
rnacentral:rRNA from 1 species